GAUGAACGCUAGCUACAGGCUUAACACAUGCAAGUCGAGGGGCAGCAUGGUCUUAGCUUGCUAAGGCCGAUGGCGACCGGCGCACGGGUGAGUAACGCGUAUCCAACCUGCCUUACACUCUUGGACAGCCUUCUGAAAGGGAGAUUAAUACAAGAUGUUAUCAUGAGUAAGCAUUUUCGCAUGAUUAAAGGUUUACCGGUGUAAGAUGGGGAUGCGUUCCAUUAGAUAGUAGGCGGGGUAACGGCCCACCUAGUCUUCGAUGGAUAGGGGUUCUGAGAGGAAGGUCCCCCACAUUGGAACUGAGACACGGUCCAAACUCCUACGGGAGGCAGCAGUGAGGAAUAUUGGUCAAUGGACGAGAGUCUGAACCAGCCAAGUAGCGUGAAGGAUGAAGGUUCAUGGAUUGUAAACUUCUUUUAUACGGGAAUAAACGAUCCAGCGUGGAUUUUUGCAUGUACCGUAUGAAUAAGGAUCGGGCUAACUCCGUGCCAGCAGCC
rnacentral:rRNA from 1 species